GGGCCCGCACAAGCGGUGGAGCAUGUGGUUUAAUUCGAUGCAACGCGAAGAACCUUACCUACUCUUGACAUCUACAGGAUCCUGCGGAGACGCGGGAGUGCCUUCGGGAACUGUAAGACAGGUGCUGCAUGGCUGUCGUCAGCUCGUGUUGUGAAAUGUUGGUUAAGUCCCCGCAACGAGCGCAACCCUUAUCCUUGUUUGCCAGCGAGUAAUGUCGGGAACUCCAGGGAGACUGCCGGUGAUAAACCGGAGGAAGGUGGGGACGACGUCAAGUCAUCAUGGCCCUUACGAGUAGGGCCUACACACGUGCUACAAUGGUAGAGACAGAGGGCAGCCACCUGGUGACAGGGAG
rnacentral:rRNA from 1 species